CCCAGUUGCAGCCAUCAUUUAAAGAGUGCGUAAUAGCUCACUGGUCGAGUGACGCUGCGCCGAAAAUGUAUCGGGGCUAAACGAUUCACCGAAGCUGUGGAUUGACAUCUAUGAUGUCAGUGGUAGGAGAGCGUUCUAAGUGCGUUGAAGUCAGACCGGAAGGACUGGUGGAGCGCUUAGAAGUGAGAAUGCCGGUAUGAGUAGCGAAAGACGGGUGAGAAAUCCCGUCCACCGUAUGACUAAGGUUUCCUGAGGAAGGCUCGUCCGCUCAGGGUUAGUCGGGACCUAAGCCGAGGCCGAUAGGCGUAGGCGAUGGACAACAGGUUGAUAUUCCUGUACCACCUCCUCACCGUUUGAGAAAUGGGGGGACGCAGUAGGAUAGGGUAAGCGCGCCGUUGGUUGUGCGCGUCCAAGCAGUAAGGCGUGUGUGUAGGCAAAUCCGCCCCCCUGUAACGUUGAGCUGUGAUGGCGAGUCCUUUUAAGGACGAAGUUCCUGAUUUCACACUGCCAAGAAAAGCCUCUAUCGAGGUGAGAGGUGCCCGUACCGCAAACCGACACAGGUAGUCGAGGAGAGAAUCCUAAGGUGUGCGAGAGAACUCUCGUUAAGGAACUCGGCAAAAUGACCCCGUAACUUCGGGAGAAGGGGUGCUCUUGAGCGUGCAAGCGCAUGAGAGCCGCAGUGAAUAGGCCCAGGCGACUGUUUAGCAAAAACACAGGUCUCUGCAAAACCGUAAGGUGACGUAUAGGGGCUGACGCCUGCCCGGUGCUGGAAGGUUAAGAGGAGUGGUUAGCGCAAGCGAAGCUGCGAAUUGAAGCCCCAGUAAACGGCGGCCGUAACUAUAACGGUCCUAAGGAGCGAAUC
rnacentral:rRNA from 1 species